AGCUCUCUGCUAGACUGAAGCACUUGAUCCAUCUGGUUAAACACUGAUACAAACAGUCCACAAUCCUGGAAUACACUGAAGCUAAUGGAAGAGACAGACAUAAUGGUGGAUCUACCAGGACUGGAAGGAACAAAACUCCUGGAUUCAAACACCACUGAACUGAAGGGGUGUUCAAACUCAAAGAACACAUCUGGAUCUGAAUUUCACUAGUGGGACUAUGUGAUCAUCUACUGUAAAUCAAAAGAACACUUCAAUGGAGCUGUGAUGGUUUACACCAGCUGAAGAUCUGAAUCUGAGUUCCUACCUACUUUUGACUUACAUUUCCUCUAUUGCUUUUUUUAUUUUA